rnacentral:rRNA from 1 species
UGGGGAAUAUUGGACAAUGGGGGGAACCCUGAUCCAGCCAUGCCGCGUGUGUGAAGAAGGCCUGAUGGUUGUAAAGCACUUUAAGCGAGGAGGAGGGUACUGGUAUUAAUACUACCAGCUACUGGACGUUACUCGCAGAAUAAGCACCGGCUAACUCUGUGCCAGCAGCCGCGGUAAUACAGAGGGUGCGAGCGUUAAUCGGAUUUACUGGGCGUAUAGCGUGCGUAGGCGGCUAAUUGAGUCGGAUGUGAAAUCACCGAGCUUAACUUGGGAAUUGCAUUCGAUACUGGUUAGCUAGAGUGUGGGAGAGGAUGGUAGAAUUCCAGGUGUAGCGGUGAAAUGCGUAGAGAUCUGGAGGAAUACCGAUGGCGAAGGCAGCCAUCUGGCCUAACACUGACGCUGAGGUACGAAAGAAUGGGUAGCAAACAGG